AACACUGUCUUAUCUCUUUCUUCUAUAAAUUUGGGAAACUAGGGUUUGUGCUGGGGCAACUUUCAUCUUUAAAUUGGCGCCGCCGUCAGUGCUGCCCCCUCCAAAUCUAGGGUUCCAAACCUCUAUAUAUAGGAUGGCGUGCUUAGAGUGGCUGCCAAAUCGAAGAUGAGAGACUCUUCAAUGUCUCCCCGGAGCUGGAUCUAUUUGUAUGCGGUAAUGUAGUAGAAUAGUUGAUUUGUCGUGAUUUUUGCAACAUUCGAAGAGCAUAGAGCGUAAAUGGAGUUUGGGAAAUGAUGAGAAUCUAUCGACUCAUGUUUCAGAGGCUCAGUGACUAUCUGUUGCUCUGCUGAACGAUUUUCUUUUGCACGUCAGUCUGAUCCCAAACUCAUUCAUGCAGCUCCGAUUUCAUUUUAUCGAUUAGGGAUUUUCAUUUUACGUUAAAUGAAUUAAGUUUGACACUGCAAUUAUAUUACUGCAAGAAUUUCCCACCGCUGCUACUUGUUCUCCUUUAGGAUAGAGGAGAUGAGGUUGGCCCUAAUAAUAGGAUGGAACAGAUGGGAUAUGGUCACAAGUACACCGCUCUACUUGAUGAUGCACUCAGUAUUCUGUUGCUAUCCUGGGUUCUGGCAAAAGGGAGUGGAGACGCCAAUCAUCUGCAAGAAACAAUAUAGGAACUGGAGGGCCAGGUUCCUGGUUUUAUAGUAUCAAGAGCAUGGAGCAGGAUUCUAAAGUAAAACCAUUCAAUGUUGUGUCCAUUUAACAUUGUCUAUAUUUUUUGCUAUCACUGUGUGAAAUAAUUCAUGCAGCCAUGUUAUAUGAUCUCAAUGAUCUAUUGAAACAAGGGCAUUUUGGAAUGGGAGAUACGAUCCUUUUUACUGUGAUGUUUGAGGUUACUUUAUGGACCACAUUUCAUUAGCUAGUUCAUCAGUCUGUGGCCUGUGGUGUGUUAACCAGUGAUGGAUGGGCUUUCCUUUCUUCUGGAAUAAGAAUAAUGUGUUAUUGAA